rnacentral:sRNA from 1 species
AUGAUGGGAAUGAUAAAAGAUCAUAGAGUUGGCGGCGGUGUCGGUGGAACUUAUGAAGUUGCCAAGAACCAAACCCAACACUUACCGAGAUAAAUAGGUGAUAUGAGGGGGACUCAUUUUUGGGUGCUUAGGGAGAGUUAUAUUUUGGAUUUAUUCAAUUGCAUUAUCUUGUAUAUUAGUGCAUAGUUGAUAGUUUAACACAUUAUGUAACUAUGGAUAUAUAUUUGCUGAUAU